CACUGUUUGGUACCAUAGGUUGGUACGAUCUUCGUUUGAGAAGGAAAAGGGAUGUUCCAGAUACAGAAAAUCGUCAAACCAUUUACUACAAAGUCCGUUUCUGGGUGGAGUUAGUGGAACCGAAAAAGAUGUCUCCCUCACAGCGUUUGUGACAAAAGAAUUGCAUCGUUCCUUGGCGGCCUUUCAACAGAAGAAUAUUCAGAGAUUUCCCGAGUGUUGGUCGAGUGGAUCACAGAAAGUCUGGCAACAAAAAAGCUGCAAUGGUUACCUCGUCACUGCUUCCAACUCCUCCUCUUUCUCAGCUGGUGCCCGAUCACUGGCAGCGACAGCGUACCCUCAUGAUGCCAAGGUUGGAGACUAUCAAGAAUCAUGACGACACCGGCCCUUCUCUGUACUGCAGGACU